CAUAAGCGAUCAAGUCCCUCCGCGUGCAUGCGAUUCGUGGGGAUGGAACCGGUGAUGGGGAUGGGUUGGGUGGGGAACAGUCCUCCGGGAACCAAAGAUUCCGGUCGUUCCACCCCGGCGUCGGAAAAUUUCUCGAGUUUGCGAGGAAAAUUCCUACGGGAGGCACUCGUCGUCGUUUCGCCGCGAAACCAACUUCCGUACCCCAAGGAAUUUCGGAUGGGUUAUCUGGGAAUUCUUGACGACCGGGAUGAACUUCACGGGAAACUUUGGGGAUGAUCCGUGUUAUCGAAAAACGGUCAGCAGCUUCGUUACUCCCCUCCCUCUCUCUCUCUGUUCCUCCCGCAUUCAAAGCUUUUAAUUUUUAAAUACGCACGAUUUUCUACCCGUAAAGCUGAAUCCGGUAGGAAUGGAUUUGGCAGCUUUGCCAUGCCCUCGCUGUAUUGCUGGGGUUACAGAACACCACAGCCAGCAGAUUGUACAUAUAAAGGGGUGGUUGGCGAGCAAGCGGGCUCAGCUUAUGGACGUAGCCGUGACCACAGCAAAUUUGCGGUAAUUAAUCUAAAAAUCUGUUCUCACAUCCCUGAGACGAUUGUACCAUUGAGUGAUUUGCUAGACUGAAAACCAGGACCAACAAAGACCGAGAAUUCGGCCGUUCUCAUCGACAGCCAUGGAUUCUGAUAACAGUAAUUUCAAUGUCCUCUCGGUGCACUCUUCGGCUCUGUUACCGGUAGAUCGGUUCGUUGACCCAGCUCGGGGGAAAACCUCGCUGGUUUGUUCGGGAGUAACGCACGAUAACUCGUCGAUGAUUUAUUAAAGAGGGCCUGAGAGAAAACCGGGGGGUCGGACAGAAGUAAUUUCGAAGCGGGCGUCGACUACCCCCGGCGAAAUUUCUCCGCCCGUGAAAGUCGCUGCCCCAGAGGGGCCUCUCUCGUCCCUAAAGAAACAGCCAGGGCGUCAUUGACUAUCAUCCAUUCGAGGCCCUCAUCGCCUCAGGCUUGUUUUUCGUAUACCACCCCGGGAAACUAGGCCACUGGAAACCGAGUUCUUUUUACCAGCGACUCGUCCAUUUUAUGAAUUUUAUGAAACCCACCCCUUCGGACAGAUGGUUUGUACCGAGAUGAAAAAGUUUCAGUGCCGGCAUCAAUGAAACUUCACUGAGGAAACUUGUUGUUCGCCUGCCACGCUCCUCCGAUCCCCUCGUCGUCACACUGCUGAAUCCAUGGAUUCGAUCCAAUGGGUACAUCUUGGAAUGGGAACGGCAGAGCGAAGAUUUCGCAGACACUGCAAGUCCGCUGACAACACGCCGAAUGCGCUGAAUGCGUUCCCUGGGAGGAAAUCGACGAACCGCGACGGUCACUGAUUGCGUCCCUUUACAGUCCUGCCGAGAUUUAGGUCGUUGGGCCGGCUCUUUCCCGACUCUCUUUAGUAAAGGAUAUUGCCCUCCUUCCGAUCUUCCCACGGAAAACCUUACGCGCGAUUUUGAUCAGACCUGGGACUUGCUUUCGCGCUUCUUGGAUCGAAACUGUUUGUAUUAUUAAAACCGAACCGGCGCGUCGUGGAAACGUUCGGCAAUAGUCGGAUUCCGGAAAGUUGGGUUCACCAAUAUGCCGAGCAAUCAACGUCGUUGAAAAGGAACACUUGGCCGAGAAGUUCGACUUGGAUCGCACCCAUUGACUGGGUAAUGGCGACCCGAACGAGUAACACGGGUUAAAGGUGACGGCGACAGAAGGCAACCUUUCUUAAGUGUCUACGCCCAGAGGGAGACGGGUAUCUCGUGUUACGGCAUGGCUCUAUCGAUGAUGCCAGACCGCUCGAAGUAUCUCGUAAUUAGCCGGUUACCCUUUGACCGAAUGCAACUGAGCAAAAGUGGAAAUUACCAAGUUCGAUGCGAACGCUAAUUGCACCCUCAUCACCUUCACAUUCAAGUCGCGGAGGAAUGGUCCCAUGGCGGGAUCAGUCACGGAUCAACGAUGCCACAUCGCUCCACUACGAUUCUCCGCGUUCUCCGAUGGCGUUACAUACCAACAACGGUACCGGUGCACAACCUCGUACCUGUUAAAGAACAUUGGAGAACCACUCGGGUCGAGUGCGAGCUGAAACGAAGAACAACCGGACGACGUCUAUGCAUAGAAAGUCACGGGUGAAUUCGACAGUAUCGUCCAGACUUUGUCGCCAACACCAUCUCCCGAUACAUCGACAGCAGAAACGACCGAAUAAUCGUAGUCGGCUUACGACGAGAAUAGAUAAAUAGAUAAAUAGAUGGACAGAGAAGGUGAUGGAGAGACGAAUAACUAGGCCGAGAGGGAACCGAGAAAUAGAGAGAGAGAAAGAGAGAAAGAGAGAGAGAGAGAGAGAGAGAGAGAGAAGAGAAAGAAGAAGAGACAGAUGAUGGCGAGGGUGGAGUUAGACGGUCGAAGGAAAGAAAACGGGGCUAGAGCAAGAAGGAGAAACACGGUAAUUACCGGCCGUUGCUGCUACUCGUUAAGGUUUCCAGUCUCGAGUCCAAGAUAUCCGAUAACAUGCAAUUUGGAUCGAUCGGACGAAAAGAGGAGAGUUAUUCUCUUGCUGCUACUCGAAAAUAUAUUGACGAGGACUUUUUAAAUUUUUAUUUAAAAAAUCCAGUGACCUGCCGUGGAUAAAGUUCUUUUCCGAGCGCAACGCGUUGACCCCGAUUCCGAGCGUGUUUUCACCACUUAAUCGUAACUGCGUGGAAGGCUCCAACGCGAUAAACUACAACCAGUCCGAGGAACGGCGGUCCCUUCUUGAUAUCGGGUCCCCGGGUCCGGGUCCGGUUAUUUUUCUUCGAGAGGGAAAAGGUCCGAGGCGAUCAAUCGACGGACUUCUUGUUAUUGGCAGGCAAGCAGCCGGAACAAAAGCCGAAUCCGAGACAACUGGACGGGUAAAUAAGCGAAGGUACGAGCGAGAUUGUGUUGCGGACGUGCAGGGGCCGGGCAUGUUCGGUUCUUCCAGCACUCUGAUCGUGAAAUCCGUGCCGCCUGUACGCGAACUAUGCUCUCCUGUAUUCACCCGCUGGCCGGGAUGAUGGAUGAUCCCGGGUAAAAGUUGGACACGAGUGCAGAGCCAGUAUAUAGCCGCAGUUUCCUCGGUCGUGUAAUUAAUAGUCGCGCAUUUGCAUCCGCUCGAUAUUAUUCUAUGAUCAACGAGUGAAACUCGGCCCCGGUGUAAUUGAAGCGCGUGCGCCCCGUGGAAUUAUUAAUCGAACUACCACCGAACGAGGAUCAAUGGGCCCUGUGUUUCUGACAGAAACGUACCCGCCUCACGGCUGUAUUAUACUGUCGCCCCCCGGUCUACCCCAGAUGCGCUCUUCGACGGCCCGUCGUGACCAUUGUCGUUUUAAACGGACAAACGAGCCAAGAUCCUUCCCCAACCAAAUUCGAAUUACAGCGUGGGCCGUACAACCCUCUGCGUCAACUGAGAAGGCAAGGUGCAUAUUAAUUAACCAGCAAAGAUUAAAAGUUUGCUAUUUUUGCAGCGGCCGCAAAACGGACGGGAAACCCACCGACAGCGUCGCAGUUGGUUGCACGAAGAUAUCAAACAACAGACGCACUGUGCACCCCCCAAUAAUUUCGGAAACAGUAUUUAGCAACGUGCGAGGAAAGAAAUACAUCCACGAGAAGUAUUCGAACUGUGAAG